rnacentral:lncRNA from 1 species
GAGAGAGAGAGAGAGAGAGAGAGAGAGAGAGAGAGAGAGAGAGAAGGGAGCCGAGAGUGAGAGUGAGAGUGAGAAAAGGAUCGAGUCUGCUUCCGACAAAAAUCCGGCAUCUGACCAGCAACGGCAGGGGUGAGCUUGGGUAGUUCUGGUUCACGAUAAUAAGGGAGCUUAUCUUGAUGAUAACGAGAAUCCGGUUUUUCUUGAUUGUGUUAGAGAACCUGAGGGACGGAUUGCUGGAAAUCUGAACAUCAGAACAUGUCGUGUUCUUGGACUUUCUAUGCAAGUUUAUGCGGGCUAGACAUUUUUUUGUUUAUAUUGCAAACUUCAUAAUCUUAGAUUGAGAAGGUAUAUGGUCCUGGAAAUCAGUACAUGACAACUGCGAAAAUACUUGAGAGCAUACAAAAUUUUUUUAACUUAAAAUGGAACGGAUCAAAUGCCAAAAAAUGUGGAUGGGUAAACCAAUCUGACGGAGUGACAGGUCAACCAAGUUUUAACUCAAAACUUGUUUUGGCCUGUUAGCCACCACACAUGGUGUCACAUAUAACUGCAAGGGUUCUUCGCCAGGUAUUUGCCAAAGGAGUAGACGCCGAUACUGUCGUUCUGAUGGCUGCCUGAGACUCUAGAACCAAAAAUCAAGAUGCCAUUGAUGAUGCAAUAGUCGGUAUGAUGGCUGAUCCAAAAGAGAGGUUGUCUACUUGCUCGCCAAUCAUUCUUCCACAAUGAUGUGAAAAACUUUGCAGAUGUUGGCGGUGGUGUUCUGGGUUGUAGAGGAUUUCAUUCGAGUUUUUGUACUUCUCAGGGUGGUCUUUUCCUAAAUAUUGCCACAAAGAGCUGAGAAUCCGGGUAUGCAGCUCCGGGAGCAGAUGCAGCAGCUACAGUCCGCGUUAUAUGUUGCAGGUCAGCCACCAUCUGAUUUUGAUGCUGAUAAGAACGAACGACAUCAGUCAACACUGCAGUUUGCUACCAACCUUUUGCUCCAAAUGAGUAGCAGCCAUCAGAGUAAGGGAGUGGAAGUGGUUCUCUUCACUAUGGGUCUGACAUGGCAGCCACAUCAGCAAGUGCGUUCUCAAUUGGAUCAACCAUAUCCCAUGGCUCGAAAGCUAGCCCGCUUUCACAGUCGAAGACAUGUGGCAUGAGUAUCAGUUUCAACUCUCAAAACAAUAUCAAGAGUUUCACAGGCCUCAAGUCAUCCUUCUUAGCCAAGGAAAGCACUGCAGCUCCUCGAUGACAUAUCUAUCCAUUAAGCUCUCUUUUUUUUUGUUUAUUUGUUUUUAUGACAUAUCUAUCCAUUUUGGUGCUAAAUGGGUCAACACAGCUUGGGUUUGACGUGUUAUUUGUUCCGAGUUUGGCUUAUUUACUUGAGCUUUGGAAAAGUACAACGAAGUUGGGUUCUAAACUUUAGGCACAUCAAUCUGUCUGGUUGGUUUGGCUUAGUGUGGUAAGUGUCAGAUUAGAUUAGCUAGUUGAUAAGAUGAAUUGGAAUAUGGUAUAUUUUUCCAACAAGUCAUAUGGAUCGACGGGUUAUAAGUAAGUU